GAAACAUCUCCCAUCUCUUGCGUGUCUGUUUUCUGAUCGCUUGGUUUAGCCGGAGCUGAUACGAGCCGUUAGGAGUCUUGAUGAGACGGUGAGGCUGAGAGCCCCGCUGCACGUUACAAGAGCGCCAUCUCCUGACCGGCGAGGGGAACUACAGUUCAUCAGCCACACAACACACUGAGGGUCUUGGUGUCGUAAAGGCGCUAAUCUAGUGGUAAUAAAUACAACUGGACGUUUAUUGUCAUAUACUGUUCAAUUACAAUUCUGCUGUGAUGAUCAUGUUCGUUAAAAGCUUCCCGUGGUAAUCCUGAUGUUCAAAAUGCAUUUGGACCAAUAAUCAUAAAACCACUUUAUUUACUUCAGUGUUUUUUGAAGCCUCGUAAAUACUUUGGAGGUUUAAAACUGCUGAAACUACUGUGUACAUCUGGAGUAAAACAGGAUCUACAUGAUGUAACGAUGCAUGUGCGCAUGUAAUCCUUCAUCAGUGUGUGUGUGUGUGCCAGCAUCCUUGUAGUAAGCUUAAUACCAGUAUAAACUAUUAAUACCAGUUAAUAGUUAAUAAGCAUUCGGCACACAGAUUAACGACAACAUUGUCCGGUGAGUAGCAGAUUCACGUUUUAUUGUCAUCAGUCAAACACACAAGAAGCGUAGAUGCUGAUUGGACGGGUACUUCCAACAAGAGGAGUCAAAGGUCAGAAUAAGGCGACGGCACAAGAGGGAGAAGCGUUUUGUUGGUGUAAACAAAGUCGUGUUCUUGGCAACAAUGAAAGCGAGUGUGUUUGAUGAGCAAGCAGAGUAGUAAAUGCAGUUGAUUGGUCGAUUACAGUUUCACAUGUUUCCGUUCC